AGGAAAAUCAUAAACAAUAAAAAAAAUGUUCCGAAUGCAACUUCCCCCGACCGAUGCUGCCGAAGAAAAGCGCAAAAUACGCAAAGAAGUGAACCAGACCAUAUUUGCCUUUGUCGCGUUGUGCGUCGCCAUCCGAAUUGCUCCUCUUUUACUCAAUCGAUCUGGUGUAUAGGAAUAUUCUAAAAAACAAUUAAUAAUAAAAACUAUGCAAUUUUAAUCUAA